GCCAAGUUGAAGAGUCCCAAACAGGACGAAACCGGAGUCCUGGAU
rfam:Schistosoma mattheei strain Denwood, Zambia genome assembly, scaffold: SMTD_scaffold0007355